ACGCUGGCGGCAGGCUUAACACAUGCAAGUCGAACGCUCCGCAAGGAGAGUGGCAGACGGGUGAGUAACGCGUGGGAACCUACCCAGAACUUCGGAAUAACACAUGGAAACGUGUGCUAAUACCGGAUACGCCCUACGGGGGAAAGAUUUAUCGGUUUUGGAUGGGCCCGCGUAAGAUUAGCUAGUUGGUGAGGUAAUGGCUCACCAAGGCGACGAUUUUUAGCUGGUCUGAGAGGAUGAUCAGCCACACUGGGACUGAGACACGGCCCAGACUCCUACGGGAGGCAGCAGUGGGGAAUAUUGGACAAUGGGCGCAAGCCUGAUCCAGCCAUGCCGCGUGAGUGAUGAAGGCCUUAGGGUUGUAAAGCUCUUUCAGUAGGGAAGAUAAUGACGGUACCUACAGAAGAAGCCCCGGCUAACUUCGUGCCAGCAGCCGCGGUAAUACGAAGGGGGCUAGCGUUGUUCGGAUUUACUGGGCGUAAAGCGCACGUAGGCGGAUCGUUAAGUUAGGGGUGAAAUCCUGGAGCUCAACUCCAGAACUGCCUCUAAUACUGGCGAUCUAGAGUCCGGAAGAGGUGAGUGGAACUCCUAGUGUAGAGGUGGAAUUCGUAGAUAUUAGGAAGAACACCAGUGGCGAAGGCGGCUCACUGGUCCGGUACUGACGCUGAGGUGCGAAAGCGUGGGGAGCAAAC
rnacentral:rRNA from 1 species